GACGAACGCUGGCGGCGUGCUUAACACAUGCAAGUCACGGGGGUCCCGCAAGGGAUAACCGGCGAACGGGUGCGUAACACGUGAGCAACCUGCCGUACUCAGGGGGAUAGCCGGCCCAACGGCCGGGUAAUACCGCAUACGAUUCUUCGGGGGAGUCCCCGGGGAAGGAAACCUCUGGGGGAGUACGAGGGGCUCGCGGCCUAUCAGCUAGUUGGUGCGGUAACGGCGCACCAAGGCGACGACGGGUAGCUGGUCUGAGAGGAUGGCCAGCCACAUUGGGACUGAGAGACGGCCCAGACUCCUACGGGAGGCAGCAGUGGGGAAUCUUGCGCAAUGGCCGAAAGGCUGACGCAGCGACGCCGCGUGGGGGAUGAAGCAUUUCGGUGUGUAAACCCCUGUUGCCCGGGACGAACAGCGCUUUUCGAGGCGCCUGACGGUACCGGGUGAGGAAGCACCGGCUAACUCCGUGCCAGCAGCCGCCGUAAC
rnacentral:rRNA from 1 species